AGCAGCCGCGGUAAUUCCAGCUCCAAUAGCGUAUAUUAAAGUUGUUGCAGUUAAAAGCUCGUAGUUGAAUUUCGAGAUCAAAUUGUUGGUCGUGCCUUGGUACGCACUGGCAUUAUUGGUUUCUCCCUUCUGACGGACCAUGAUGUCAUUAAUUUGGUGUCUUGGGGAAUCAGGACUGUUACUUUGAAAAAUUGAGUGUUUAAAGCAGGCUCACGCUUGAAUACAUUAGCAUGGAAUAAUGAAAUAGGACGUUUGAUUCUAUUUUGUUGGUUUCUAGGAUCGACGUAAUGAUUAAUAGGGAUAGUUGGGGGCAUUAGUAUUCAAUUGUCAGAGGUGAAAUUCUUGGAUUUAUUGAAGACUGACUACUGCGAAAGCAUUUGCCAAGGAUGUUUUCAUUAAUCAAGAACGAAAGUUAGGGGAUCGAAGACGAUCAGAUACCGUCGUAGUCUUAACCAUGAACUAUGCCGAUAGGGAU
rnacentral:misc_RNA from 1 species